GCAAGUCGAACGGUAACAUGUCUAGCUUGCUAUCUGAUGACUAGUGGCGAACGGGUGAGUAACGCGUAGAUAUCUGCCUAGUAGUGGGGGAUAGCCCGGAGAAAUCCGGAUUAAUACCGCGUACGCCCUUCGGGGGAAAGAAGGCCUCUUCUUGAAAGCUUUCACUAUUAGAUGAGUCUGCGUCGGAUUAGCUUGUUGGUGAGGUAAUGGCUCACCAAGGCGACGAUCCGUAGCUGGUCUGAGAGGACGAUC
rnacentral:rRNA from 1 species